rnacentral:tRNA from 2 species
GCCGAGAUAGCUCAGUUGGUAGAGCAGCGGACUGAAAAUCCGCGUGUCACAGGUUCGAUUCCUGUUCUCGGCA